rnacentral:rRNA from 1 species
AUUGAACGCUGGCGGAAUGCUUUACACAUGCAAGUCGAACGGCAGCACGGGAGCUUGCUCCUGGUGGCGAGUGGCGAACGGGUGAGUAAUAUAUCGGAACGUAUCCAAUAAUGGGGGAUAACUGGUCGAAAGAUUAGCUAAUACCGCAUACGCCCUGAGGGGGAAAGCUGGGGAUCUUCGGACCUAGCGUUAAUGGAGCGGCCGAUAUCUGAUUAGCUAGUAGGUGAGGUAAAAGCUCACCUAGGCGACGAUCAGUAGCUGGUCUGAGAGGACGACCAGCCACACUGGAACUGAGACACGGUCCAGACUCCUACGGGAGGCAGCAGUGGGGAAUUUUGGACAAUGGGCGCAAGCCUGAUCCAGCCAUUCCGCGUGAGUGGAGAAGGCCUUCGGGUUGUAAAGCUCUUUCGCAAGGGAAGAAAACUUAACCUCUAACAUAGGUUGAGGCUGACGGUACCUUGAUAAGAAGCACCGGCUAACUACGUGCCAGCAGCCGCGGUAA